rnacentral:rRNA from 1 species
UACGUAGGCAGCAAGCGUUGUUCGGAAUUACUGGGCGUAAAGAGUGUGUAGGCGGUGCUCCAAGUCUGGUGUGAAAUCUCCCGGCUUAACUGGGAGGGUGCAUUAGAAACUGGAAUGCUAGAGGGUGGGAGAGGUAAGCGGAAUUCCUGGUGUAGCGGUGAAAUGCGUAGAUAUCAGGAGGAACACCUGUGGUGUAGACAGCUUACUGGACCAUUUCUGACGCUGAGACACGAAAGCGUGGGUAGCAAACAGG